UACGUAGGGUCCGAGCGUUGUCCGGAAUUAUUGGGCGUAAAGGGCUCGUAGGCGGUUUGUCGCGUCGGGAGUGAAAACCAGGUGCUUAACACCUGGCCUGCUUUCGAUACGGGCAGACUAGAGGCAUUCAGGGGAGAACGGAAUUCCUGGUGUAGCGGUGAAAUGCGCAGAUAUCAGGAGGAACACCAAUGGCGAAGGCAGCUCGCUGGGACGGUACUGACGCUGAGACGCGAAAGCGUGGGGAGCAAACAGG
rnacentral:rRNA from 1 species